CUAUCGUCUAUCUCUCUCUCUAUCUAUCUAUCUAUCCAUUAUCUAUCUAUCUAUCUAUCUAUCUAUCUAUCUAUCUAUCUAUCUAUCUAUCUAUCUAUCUAUCUAUCUAUCUAUCUAUCCCUGGCCCACAGGUGUAUUUAAUAUGUCAGGGAGUUUUAUCCCCCCAGGCCAGUUAUUUAAUGCUUUAUAAUGACUGGGGAUUUAUAUCAGACUUGUUCUGUGGCCUUUCUUACUCCUGGGGACAAUAAAUAGAAUACUUGUAAAGGUCGAACCAAGUUUGUUAUUGUAACUAAUUGUUUCAGCUGCUGUAAAUCAUCACACGGUCUGUGUUACAAGCCCAAUCCAGAGGCUCUGAAUAUUCAUUAAUAGAGCGAUUUAUAGAAUGACAGGACUGGGUGAGCGAUAUACACACAGUGUGAUUUAUUUACACCGAUAAAUACAAUAAUAUUUACAUUGUUUUCGUCAAAUAUUUUCUACACUUGUUAAGAUAUGUUAUUUCACACGUGGCUUCUUAUAAACCAUAAAAAAUGGUAUUCUAUUCGACAAAUAUAUCCAGUGCUUGUUAUACAAAUAUUUUAUAUUCGUUCACGAAGAUUCAGUUAUAUAAUCAUUUUAUUUCUAGCAAACAUAUAAUGGUUUGAAUUAAGAACUGUCUGCAAAAAUGUCAUUAUUAAUAUCUGUCGUUUUCGAUUUCAAAUAAAUAAAUUAAACAUCGGUUUCGUGCAAAAACAUAUUUCAUUUGAGUGUUACAAAUAUAUAUAUAUAUAUGAUAAUAGAAU